rnacentral:RNase_P_RNA from 1 species
CGAGUAUGCUGAGCGGUUGGGAUCGUACUUUAACGUACGCUUCAGGAAAGUCCGGGCAUCAACGGGAAAUCUCCCGUAAAAGGGCAGUUGAUAACGUCAACCGAGGGCGACCUCCGGGCAAGUGCAACAGAAACAGACAUCGCGCAACCUUUUUGAUUGCGCGUUAAGGUGGAAACGUAGGGUAAGAGCCUACGCGUAUGUUUAGGCAAUGAAGCAUAUGCUGUAAACCCUGCCUUGAUGCAACGCCGAAAGGCGGCAUGAGCUAAGCGGCGACGUUUAGCCGCAGAUAGAUAACCGCUCCAGACAAAACCCGGCUUAUAGGCAUACUCGGCGG